rnacentral:rRNA from 1 species
GAUGAACGCUGGCGGCGUGCUUAACACAUGCAAGUCGAACGGAAAGGCCCAAGCUUGCUUGGGUACUCGAGUGGCGAACGGGUGAGUAACACGUGGGUGAUCUGCCCUGCACUUCGGGAUAAGCCUGGGAAACUGGGUCUAAUACUGGAUAGGACCACUUCUUGGAUGUUGUGGUGGAAAGUUUUUUCGGUGUGGGAUGAGCUCGCGGCCUAUCAGCUUGUUGGUGGGGUAAUGGCCUACCAAGGCGUCGACGGGUAGCCGGCCUGGGAGGGUGUACGGCCACAUUGGGACUGAGAUACGGCCCAGACUCCUACGGGAGGAAGCAGUGGGGAAUAUUGCACAAUGGGCGCAAGCCUGAUGCAGCGACGCCGCGUGGGGGAUGACGGCCUUCGGGUUGUAAACUCCUUUUGCUAGGGACGAAGCGUUUUGUGACGGUACCUGGAGAAGAAGCACCGGCUAACUACGUG